GACGAACGCUGGCGGCGUGCUUAACACAUGCAAGUCGAACGGUAAGGCCCUUCGGGGUACACGAGUGGCGAACGGGUGAGUAACACGUGGGUGAUCUGCCCUGCACUUCGGGAUAAGCCUGGGAAACUGGGUCUAAUACCGGAUAGGACUCCGGACUGCAUGGUCUGGGGUGGAAAGCUUUUGCGGUGUGGGAUGGGCCCGCGGCCUAUCAGCUGGUUGGUGGGGUGAUGGCCUACCAAGGCGACGACGGGUAGCCGGCCAGGGAGGGUGACCGGCCGCACUGGGACGGAGAUACGGCCCAGACUCCUACGGGAGGCAGCAGUGGGGGAUAUUGCACAAUGGGCGCAAGCCUGAUGCAGCGACGCCGCGUGAGGGAUGACGGCCUUCGGGUUGUAAACCUCUUUCAGCACCGACGAAGCGCAAGUGACGGUAGGUGCAGAAGAAGGACCGGCCAACUACGUGCCAGCCGCCGCCGUAA
rnacentral:rRNA from 1 species